rnacentral:rRNA from 1 species
AACGAACGCUGGCGGCAGGCUUAACACAUGCAAGUCGAACGCAUCCUUCGGGGUGAGUGGCAGACGGGUGAGUAACGCGUGGGAACGUGCCCUUCAGUUCGGGAUAACCCAGGGAAACUUGGGCUAAUACCGGAUACGUGCGCGAUCAGAAAGAUUUAUCGCUGAAGGAUCGGCACGCGUCUGAUUAGCUAGUUGGUAGGGUAAUGGCCCACCAAGGCGACGAUCAGUAGCUGGUCUGAGAGGAUGAUCGGCCACAUUGGGAAUGAGAAACGGCCCAAACUCCUACGGGAGGAAGCAGAGGGAAAUAUUGGACAAUGGGCGCAAGCCUGAUCCAGCCAUGCCGCGUGAGUGAUGAAGGCCUUAGGGUUGUAAAGCUCUUUCGUCCGGGACGAUAAUGACGGUACCGGAAGAAGAAGCCCCGGCUAACUUCGUGCCAGCAGCCGCGGUAA